UUUGAGAAAAAUCCUCCAGCAAUGAAAAUACAAGCAGUUAUUAUCAUCAUUCAGUUGUUUACUCUUGCUGCAGCCACUUUGACAUCCACCCCCACUGUGGCCUGUCCUGAUGACACUGUUGCCUUCACCUGUACUCUGCCUGGUACUAUGGGUGUAACCAUUGGCUGGACAGUAACUCCACCAACAGGACUAAAUGUGGCCAGUGCAUCUGGAGCAGUUAGUAACAGUUUGGUAAUGAAUAUCAUUGGCUCUGAUGGGUUCCUGUUCCGGGCUGAUUACUCUGGAUAUUCAAUGGAGGCAUGGUAACAUCUACCCUUACCACUCUCACCAUGGUGACAGCGCUGGCUGGAGCUAUGGUAGACUGUAGAGUAAUAGGAGGAGUAGGGGAAGAUCAAAUACCCAUCAGCGUGGCUGAUCCAUCUUCACUUCUACUGAACCCAAGUGUGACCUCCACUCAAAGCCAACCCAGUUCUUCUAAUAUCACUUUGGAGUGGGACUCCCCUUCAUCUACUGGUGGUGUGUCUGUCAGCUAUGUCGUCACUAUCUCCCCAAUACCUCUCUCCGGGUUACCAGUCACCAUGGAAACCACCUCUGCACAUAUCAUUGUCUCCUACAACACUCUCUACAAUGUGACAAUCAGAGCUGUCAACUGUGCUGGAAUGAGUCAAGAAGCUUCAA